rnacentral:rRNA from 1 species
GGGGAGUCUUGACGCACGGCUCAUUAAAACAGCUAUAAUCUACUCGAUCUUGAUGUCCUAAACGGAUAACUGCGAUAAUUUUGGAGCUAAUACGUGCACCAAUGCCCGGACUAACGUACGGGCGCACUUAUUAGAUCAAGACCAAUCGGGGCAACCCGUUCUGGUGACUCUGAAUAAUUUCGCUGAUCGCAUGGUCUAGCACCGGCGACGUAUCGUUCGAGUGUCUGCCUUAUCAACUUUCGAUGGAAGUCCAUGUGACUGCCAUGGUUGUUACGGGUAACGGAGAAUAAGGGUUCGACUCCGGAGAGGGAGCCUGAGAAACGGCUACCACAUCCAAGGAAGGCAGCAGGCGCGUAAAUUACCCACUCUCAAUGCGAGGAGGUAGUAACUAUCAAUAACGAGACAGUUCUCUAUGAGGCCUGUUAUCGGAAUGGGUACAAUUUAAACCCUUUAACGAGGAUCUAUGAGAGGGCAAGUCUGGUGCCAGCAGCCGCGGUAAUUCCAGCUCUCAAGGUGUAUAUCGUCAUUGCUGCGGUUAAAAAGCUCGUAGUUGGAUCUGAGUCUGUGGGCGCGGAGCACCAUGUGUGUAACUGUGAUCCCGGACUGAUUUGUUGGUUUUCUGCAGUUUGCCUUCAUCG